UUCAGAGGGGGCAAGCGUUAUUCGGAAUUAUUGGGCGUAAAGGGCGCGUAGGCGGCCUGGCAAGUGGAAGGUGAAAUCCCUCGGCUUAACCGAGGAACUGCCCUCCAAACUGCUUGGCUUGAGUCCGGGAGAGGUGAGUGGAAUUCCCAGUGUAGCGGUGAAAUGCGUAGAUAUUGGGAGGAACACCAGUGGCGAAGGCGGCUCACUGGACCGGAACUGACGCUGAGGCACGAAAGCGUGGGGAGCAAACAGG
rnacentral:rRNA from 1 species